rnacentral:rRNA from 1 species
AACGAACGCUGGCGGCAUGCCUAACACAUGCAAGUCGAACGAGACCUUCGGGUCUAGUGGCGCCCGGGUGCGUAACGCGUGGGAACCUGCCCUUAGGUUCGGAAUACCUCCCCGACAGGGGUGCUAAUACCGGAUAAUGUCUUCGGACCAAAGAUUUAUCGCCUUUGGAUGGGCCCGCGUUGGAUUAGCUAGUUGGUAGGGUAAAAGCCUACCAAGGCGACGAUCCAUAGCUGGUCUGAGAGGAUGAUCAGCCACACUGGGACUGAGACACGGCCCAGACUCCUACGGGAGGCAGCAGUGGGGAAUAUUGGACAAUGGGGGAAAGCCUGAUCCAGCAAUGCCGCGUGAGUGAUGAAGGCCUUAGGGUUGUAAAGCUCUUUUACCCGGGAUGAUAAUGACAGUACCGGGAGAAUAAGCUCCGGCUAACUCCGUG